UCAGCGCGACGCCGCGGAGACGCGCGCGCGCGCGCGCGCGCGCCAACGUAUGCCUAUUCCGAGGAAUGAACGCGCGCACGUAGAGCGCUCUAUGAAAUGUGCUUGAGUGUGCUGUGCCGGUUUCUCGACGGUGGCGGCCAUUUUGCCAUUUGCGUGAUGUCACGGUGUGGCCUACUUCUGAACGGCUCCACGUGCGGAGGUCGUCGACCUGGCUUCUCUCUUCCAGUCCCCUUUUGCCUAGAUCUAGCCCCCUCACCAAACUUUCCAACGAAUGGUGCGCGCCUUCGAAAGAUCGCUGAUGUACAAAGAAAACGGGUAUACCCUAGUACAUCAUCUAAUAACAUUGUAAGGAGAAUAACACGAUGUGGUGAGGGGGCGCAGAUCUGUGGAUCGUGGGCGAGGGAGGAUGAUGGGGGAGGCAAAACCAGGGCGUAAGUAUUGAUCCCGCGUCUAGGCGGUUGACACAUUUACCAAAAGAUACGCGUGAUCUAGUUUCAACGGAAGAUAGCACAAGUUAGAACAAAAAGAGAGCAUCUAGACAUCAACAAUGACUUUGUCAUUAACGAAGUCAAUGGAUUAAUGAAACCUUGAAAUAUAAAUGUGCUUAAACACAAAGCCCUAAAAAAACUAAAAAUAUGAAUUAGUAAAAAAAAAAAGAUUUCUGCUGAUUCUCGGUAAGUACUGCAAAACUCUGUUAUAAAUGUCUAUAAAAAUGCUAUUGUUUUAUUCACCACUCAUCUUUCCAUGAAAAGCGAAUUUAUACACGCCGCGGCGCGACAUAAAUAAUAAAUUCUUAAAAAUGUAUUUCACCCAGUUCUAACAUAUACUUCAGUUGUAACUCUGUUUAUGUCUACAUUAUUUUAAAAUGUAUUGAUAAAUACUUGAAAUUAUAAUAUAUUUUUUUAACAAUAGGAUACAUAGCUCACUUAUUAAAUUAAUGUUACUUUCAAUCUAUGGUAAUCAUUAUUUACGUUACUGUUUCACUAGGAAUGCAAAAAUGUAUGAAAUCUUAGUAUAAAUUCAAAGAAAGUUCUGUUGCUGGUUUCGAGAUCAAAUGGGUCAUAGUUCAGUUUUGAUUAUCGUUACCCUUUCUUCACGUUUAACGACGAAAGAUUUAGAAAAAAUUUAGUGCAAUUCUAUCGAGUUCUAUUCUAUGAAAACAAAUUAUUGUGCUAGCGUUGACAAUUACAUUAUAUUGCGUUCUGCGCUAUGCUGUUUCAUUGCAUAAUAUUACAAGUGCAUGCAGACUAAUUAGUUACAUAAUGUUCAACAAUCAUUUAACAAUUUAAGAAAGUAGAGAAAAGGAAAGAGAGAAACUGUGAAAAUCUAAGAGAGAAAAGAAAGGGAAGAAAAACAGAAAAAUACAAUCUUAAAUAAACAAGGAAACUAAGAUAAAUUGGAAAUUAUAUGACACAUAUAUUAUACAUAUAUAUAGUAAUAAUUUAGAACUCGAUGUAUUUUGUUUUGUGAUACGUUCUAAUAAUGUGUUUUUAAAUCAAAUGUUAAAUGUAAAUACAAGUAAAGGAAAUUUUUGUAAUUUAUAAUCUAUGCGUUUCACCUGCAAUUCCGUUCGCAUUGUGUCGUGAUGCGGUAUAGAGACGCAAAGCUAGAAUACCGUUUGAUCAAUACUUCAGGCUCGUCACAGUUAUCGUUCUCGUCUUCGUACUCAUCGAUGGAGCAAGGGCAAACAAAAUGCAGGACAGGUUGUCAGAUGCGAAGAAAAAUUUAUAGCAAUAAAAUAAUAAACCGUAUCACAUAUAUGUGAUAAUAGACAGCUUUUUAAUUAAAGAUUUUAAAUAAAUAAUUUGUUUGGGGGGGGGGGAUAGAAAAUAAUGCCCAGCUGUAGCAAUACUGAAUAUUUCUAGUAAUGAAAUUGUUAAUAAAUCUAGAAAAGCUGUAACUGCUUGGUUCAUCGAAUGUAACAUAUACUAGGGGACACGUGUCGAAAGGUCGAUGCCCCUUAUGCCAGAUUUUAUUCAGUUCUAUUCCCUUCUAUCUUUCCGUAGAUACACCAGCUCAAAAACUUUAUAAACAUCCAGUAAGAUAAGUUUAUCUUUAUAUGUAUAUCAUGUUGAUAUUUUAGAAGUUUAAGAAAUAUUCUGGACUUAUAUUCUGGCUUAACGGAUUAUUUUACCUUAUAUCUUAUUAUGUCUUUUGUUUAUUAUUUAUUAUAAAAUUAGUAUAUUUAUAUCUAUAUGUAUGUAAUUUAGUAUAAAAAAUAAAAUUGUAUUUUGCUUUGAGAUUCGAUGAGUUUUUAUUGCAUCUAUAUUCGUGACAAGCUGGCGAAGCAAUGCAAGAUUUUAAAAAUCUUGGUAAUAAAUGUCAUGGAGAGAUUGAUAUGUCUCAAAUGAUUUCAAAACUGAAUGCAGAUCAAAAAAGAAUAUUUGAUAGAGUCACUAAUACCAUAAUGUCAGAUAAAAAAGUCAUCAUUAUACGUUAGUGGAGAAGAAAAUACUGGUAAAAGUUUCUUAAUUACAAUUAUUAAAUGUGUAAUAAAACAAAAUCUCAACAAGGAUACUGCUACAGCGGCAUCCACUGAUAUAGUAGCUUUGAUAGUGCACCCAGCGAAAAUGAUUCUGUCCCUCGGAAAAUUUUCCAAACUGAGAAAUCACCGUCUGUCUACAUACUCGCAGUUCAUGAUUAAUGUAACGACUAGAGCUUAUUGAUCGCUGAGUGUAUGUAUAUAUAUAUAUUGCUUCAAUUAUCCAUUGAAUAUGGUCAUACUCUUAAGUAUAAACAAUUAGCUGAUCAUGUAAUGAAAGUUUUACGAUCUCAAAGAUAUUGUUCUUUUUAUAAUUGACAAAAUAUCGCUGAUAUCUAAUUUGACUUUAUUGUAUAUACAACUAUGAUUAUCUGAAAUAUUCGGUAUUGAUUGUGAUGAUAGUUUGGUCAUUCGUGACUGACACCGCGCAAUUAUGGAUAAUUUAUGAUGUGAGAAAUUCUUGACACAGUACGAGUUUGGCCGCUCAUAGUAGAGUCACGUAAACGACCCGCUAUUAAUAGGAACCAGCCGCACCUAUUUAUCUUGCAUCUAGGAGAGUCAAGUGCAGCCGGCUGGUCAUUCGUGCCAACAAUUCAUGAAAAAUUUAUGGGGACGCAUGCGAUACACGUUUUCAAGUAUUAUUUGUUACUCAAUAUUUUCCUUGCCGUAUUUUGACUUUAAUAUUAGUGUGUCGGAUUAAUAAUUUUCAAAAAGUUAAAGUAUAAUCAAAGAUCUAAAAUUGAUUAAGUUACUAUAGCCAUUCGAUCAAUAACGCUGCAAGGAACUAAACCACAGUAAUGAUUCAUCAAGCGUCGCUCACUUUCAAUCUCAGAGUCACGCGACAAUUAUGUACACGCUAUUGAACAAUAAUCGAUAUCAUUAUAAUCAAGUAACAUCAUAAAGCAGUUUUAUUAUACACAUGUGGGUGCUUGGUACGAAAUUAUCACAAUCUCCUGUAUAUUUUUGCUCUAAAAAGAUAAUGUGGCAUAUGAGACACUAAAUUCGCUGUUCUAAAUCUCACAAUUUGAUAAACAGGUAUAUGCAGAUUGGCUUUUCUCAAUUUGUACAUUUAUUUAAUUAUAUUUGAUGAUAAUUAAUUUAUCGUGUGAAAGAGGAGUUAUCGCCUCGUUCGAGGAAGCCAUCAAAUGCACCCCAGGGAUUCUUGUUACUCGUUUCGCUCUUUUGUUACACAACCGACACUCUCAGCAACUCGGCCAACUAUCGACCCCACCAAGAGCUCACUCUUCCCGUCCCAUUUUCUUCCGUCUUCUCACUGUCACUCCUUCUUUCUUCUUCUUCUUCUUCUUCUCUCUCUCUCUCUC